UCUCCUCUAUGAAGGCCUGUAAAACGCAUUUGAGCGGGAGAGGUUGAGCUUUGGACUGGUUAUAGCUGUGUCUUUUGUCUCCUUGGUAACAAACAGAAGAGGAAGUUCACAGAGCACCGCCUUGCCCACGUUUAUCUGUUUCAACACCUCAUAAUUAUUCCUUAAACUGUGCCAAGAUUUUGUAGGAAGUUGAAAGUCAGCGAUCUCAUGGAGGCAAACGCGGAAUCCAGGACCUGAAUUAAGUUAGGACAGAAGAAGGACUUGAUUGCCACGGAUAUGAUCUUUGGUCCCCUGACUUGUCUUUUGAUGUUUUCGUUUGCUAUGGCAAAUCAAAACUCCACACAAUUAACUACUAUGCCAACUCCCUCUAACUCUGCUGUACCUGCAACUGUUAUCUUAAACUUCACUGAAAGGAAAAGGCAUAAAACCAGCACAAAGUUGGACAAUGGAGGACUGACCAGCACAGAAGCCACAACUGAGAGGACAGGUCAGACUUCUCAGUCAGAAACAGAGACUACAUCACUGAAGACCUCAACACCAAGAUCGCAAACUCCUUCAUUCACUUCACUGACAACACAAGCAAUCCAUACCAUAACAGGUUACCUGAGUACAUCCAAUCCUUCAGUUUUUCAAACAGAAAAUUCUUCUCAAAUCGUCAAAAUAACCAUGAAUGCAGGGAGCCAAACCACACAAGGUUUACAACUUAACAUAUCAGAAAAGAAUAUGACAAUUAUCUUCGGUUUUGUGCUUGGAGUGUUUGCUGUGGCGCUGGUUAUUAUUAUGUUUGACAAAUGCAAACAUAAAAUUCAAUUCGUGCAUCGACCUCUGAACAGCGCGGAUGACCCAGCUGGUUUUGUUGUAGGGGAUGUUUCUGGAGGACUUUAUGACGACCAUCCGAUCUUUGAUAAUGUACCACCAACUCCUGUGGACCAGUCUCAGUUUCGCCUCGAGUUGUUUCAGUAAAGGGACACCAUUGCUCCUACUAUUCAACGUGCCAUGUAUUAAUAAGAAUAAUCACAAGACUGAAACUUCACUCAUACGCAAAAUAACAUUUUCACAAGGUGAAAUUGGUAACAGAGGAGAAAAUAGUAAAGGCUAUAACAUCCAAAGACAACAGUGACAUUUUUUUAAACAUAACUUUCAUUAUGUCACUACUACAAUACAUAAAUAUGUAGAAAAAUAUUUAAGACUUUUUCCCACAUUAACAACAUAAACCUAGGUAAAGUCAACAAUGUUUCAUUUGAAUCAAAGUAAACUCAUUCUGUGCAACAGCACCUUUCUUUUCGCAAAGUCUUUAAAAGCAUUGUGGGUACCGCCACAGUCACCUAAGCUAUACUUCCAAAGCAGAACUGUAUGAACUCCAAAGUGUAAAAAAAAUAAAAUGAUAUUGGUACAUUUGAUCCUUAUCUAUCAAUUUCUGUCAAACCCUAAAGACACCUAUGCCAGUCAGUGAUAUUGUUAACACUGUUUAUCUGCCCUGUAACUGCAAUAGUUAGGCAAAAAUCUUUUCAUUGCACUUCUUUUUUUGAUCACUGCCAAUAACAGCAGUCCAACCAGCAUCUCUAAUUCUUUUCAUUGCAGCCAACUUCGACGAGUUCCCAGCUGAUUUACCAUCGACUGGGCUCUGAAUCUGAAAAUAAAUACUUUUUUUUUUUAAAUGAAUAAAGAAAUAAAUUGCCAAAUAAAUUAACUUCAAAUAAACUGAUCUACUACUGUGGUUAUGUUACCUUCUUGAAGAUAUUGCGUUUGGACUGUGGAGCAGAAACAUUUCGUUUUGGCACCUUUGCAAACAUCUAUAUAAACAAGAGGAUCACAUUAACUUUUGAAUUUGUCAAAUUUAGCAAGUCCUAGAAAGCAACAAAGUUUAACAUAUUUCUGAGAAUGAAUACAUCAACCAAUAAUAGCAGGACAUACCAAGAUAUCCAUAUGAUCAGAGCUGUCGGACUUAAGUUCAAGCUCUAUGGCACUCUUGCCCCAUUGUGGAGCCUUUCCAUUAGAGGGAGGAGUCCUUAUUCUGUACGACUGUAAAGGAAUUCACAGAGGAAUUGCCAGGGUAAAAAAAACAUGCAUAUAUUUGUUUAUUGCAGAAAAUGUCAGAAUAAUAAUAGAAUAAUAUUGAUGAUGAUGAUGAUGAUGACAUAAUACUUUGAUCUUCAAUGCUCCAAUGCUGCUUUUAGCCUUAUUUCCAGUUUUCUUGUCCUGAAUGUCCUAUAAUGCAAACUUAAUGUCAGUCUGAUUAUUAUAAUUACAUAAUGACAUGUCCUUAUAAUUAUCUUAUUGUUUUAUCUUACUUUUAUCAACAACUAAUCAAACUAACAAGCACCUUUAAGUGUAGUUUAUGAAUAUAUUAAACAGCUUUCAACCUUCAUAUUUUGUGUUCCAUAAGGGGUCUUGAAUGAUUCAGAAGCCUUAAAGGUAUUGUGACAUCAUUUUUAACAUGCUUUUAACACUAUUAAAAGUCUUGGCCAACAUCCCUCAAAUGUGUCUAAAAGAGUGUAACAAGAAAAACUUCACUCUAGUACUCCAUUCCUGGCUUUUUAUUACAGUGUUUUUUUGCACCGUGAAAAACGCUUCCUUUUCCCCCUUUCCUGUCAAUCAUUGCGCCGCUCCUCCUCCAAACCUCCUCCUCCUCCAGCCAUACGCUCACAGCGGCGUCGGAGAGUUAAACCGGGAGCGACAGGCGAAGCAUGCACGGAAAAGCAGCACGGCGAACCACAGCAAACAAUCAUAAAAAUAAAGGCAUGUAAAUAAAGUGUCCCCUUAUCUUAAGUCCAGUCAGUGGCCGCGGGUCUUCUUAGCAGUUUUCCUCCCGGUGAUGAGAACAAAAGAGGCUCUAAACAGCUCCGUGUUAAGCCUGAUUUAUGGUCCGCGUUAAAUCGACGCAGAGCCUACGCCGUAGUGUUCAGCGUACGGUGCGCGUCGCCGCGUAACCCUACGCCGUAGGCUCUGCGUCGGUGUAACGCGGAACCAUAAAUCAGCCUUUAUGGUGCGCUGGAGAGGAGCG